ensembl:snoRNA SNORA11G small nucleolar RNA SNORA11
AGGGUGUCCUCAGAGCCAGGGGCCUGCAGAAUUGGCCGUCUGUUGAAAACACACCCAACAGGAAUUUGGGUUUACUCCUCGCAGGUGUCAGGAUAUUUUGGCCUUCCUGUGACAUCAUACCCUGCACAU